rnacentral:rRNA from 1 species
GCCGCGGUAAUACGGAGGGUGCGAGCGUUGUUCGGAUUUACUGGGCGUAAAGGGCGCGUAGGCGGCCUGACAAGCUAAGGGUGAAAUCCCAGGGCUCAACCCUGGAAUUGCUCUUGGAACUGUCAGACUAGAGAUAGUCAGAGGCGGGUGGAAUUCCUGGUGUAGAGGUGAAAUUCGUAGAUAUCAGGAGGAACACCGGAGGCGAAGGCGGCCCGCUGGGGCUAUUCUGACGCUGAGGCGCGAAAGCGUGGGUAGCGAACGGGAUUAGAUACCCCGGUAGUCCACGCUGUAAACGAUGAAUACCGGCUGUUUGAGGCAUCGACCCCUCAAGUGGCGCAGCUAACGCGAUGAGUAUUCCGCCUGGGGAUUACGGUCGCAAGACUAAAACUCAAAGGAAUUGACGGGGGCCCGCACAAGCGGUGGAGCAUGUGGUUUAAUUCGACGCAACGCGAAGAACCUUACCUGGGUUUGACAUCCUUGGCUCGCCAUAGAGAUAUGGUUUUCCCUUCGG